CAUGGGUGCCUCACAUCUGGAUUCUGUCUCCAUUCUGCCGUGAGCCUACACUGCCUGUCCCCUAACACAAGGCUGUGACCCUCUGUUCAGGAACAAUGCUGUUACUCAGGGGGUCUCCUGUUGGCUUGUUAAGAGAAGUGUGACUUCAAUUGCUUUUGCGUGACCUUUUGUUGGAGGAUGCCCUCGUGGUUAAGGCUGCAGCGUGGUGCUGUGACAGGGGAAUCGACAGUCGGUGCUUGCUUGGUGUAGUGUAAGGGCCCGUGUGGUUAGAAGCUGAUUUUCAUUUACUUGUGGGCUUGAAUGAAACUACUGCAACUCCCACGCCUCUUUGUCAUCUGGAGCCAGAACUUCAGAAGCCGCCAGCGCCUUGGUGGCAAAGAAGCCCUUUAGGUUCUGUGAAUGUCUCACCCUGGAAACAAACAGCUUCCUCUUCUGCUGGACCUGCUUCCCCCCUUAGAUGGUGCAUUCUUUUUUUCCCGUGUAAUACAUCAUUGAAGCAACUCAUUCUGGUGAUGAAUUACUCGUACAUGUUAUCAGAUGGGCCUGUUCUGAUACUCCUGCAUCAUCCCGAGUAUUACACUAAUAUAUCAGCAGACUGAACUGUUGCUCCGAUUAUAUGCCUCAGCCCCAUAUAUCACGGUGCUCACACAUGCACACAGAUCCUGCUGGGAUGGUGCAGCUUGGAAAUGGGGCACCGAGGGAUGCCCCACUCGAGCCUGGUUCUGGAGCUGGCAUUUUUGCACGGGGCCGAACUUCAGGGGAGGCUUGGAAAAGGGAUCAUUAGCAGACAACUCACAUUUUUAGGGCUAUGUAGUUGUUUCAAAUUGCAUGACCCACAUGGUAAUGCGUUUCAAAGCCAGCGUCUCUGGAAAUUUGGGCUUUUUAUGAAAAGUGCUCGUGCCCCGCAGCUGUUUUUGAAGCCUGGGGUCUCCCCUCCUUCCUCCUGCUGAGAGCAUCACCAUGUUAACCCUCCAGCAUCCUCGGUGGUAAGAGAACCAAGUGCAUCUGAAGGGUGUGGAAAUGGAGCAUAAAAGGCAUAUUCUUCAAUCUCAGAGCAUUCAGGGACAGGCUGGGGGGGAGGGUUGUCUUUUUU